UUCUCAGCAAUUUCUAUCCCUACCUCCACGUGGUGUCAGCCAGGCUGCAAGCAAAUUUAGGGAACAUCGAGUAACCUACCCUGGUGGGAUCUUUGGUCGUUGGCUGACAAGGAAGG
rnacentral:ribozyme from 1 species